GAAGGGGGGAGGGAAAGACUUUUCUCUGCCCUGGGACAAUUUGUAGAAAACGACAUGUGGGAGAGAGUUGAAAUGAACAGAAAAAAAUUCUACUUUCUCUUUUUUUUUAAAGUCCAGCCAUAACCAGGCUACCAGGACACAUGAUACUGCUAUUAAAGAACACCUAAAAAGGACCGGCUUUAAGGGCUUUGAGAAAGAAAACAGAAAUUUCCACCUUCGUUGUUCAGGUUUUUCCUUUACAGGAGUUGCUGCAGCUUCAUCACUAGGAGGUAAUGCAUCGCACAGCAAAAUCCUUUGGGACUCUAGGAUGUGGACUUCACUUGAAGACCAACGGCGAAAAUGGCUCAAGCAAAUGAAGCAAAUGUGCCUCCGACAAAAUUGUGCUGUCCUGUCCUCUGUUAUGACCAUUUUAUUAUGGUGACUGGUGAAAGAGGCAACGUUUAAUCUAAGUUCUAUGAAACUAUCUGUAAAGAAAAUAACAUAUUUUUCUACUUUGAAAGGUACGUUCCACAUGAAUUUACAUUUUUAAGUAUGUUUAAGAAUUUUUUUCCUUUUAAAGAUGGUGACAUCUGAAUCAUAAAAAUAGUCUAUCGAUGUUUAUAUUUGUGACAAAAUAUCUCUACAGAUAUAUAUGAUCACAACAGUCGUCAGUAUAUUUUUAAGAAUAUCAAAAUAGCUUUGGCUGAUGUGCUUAAAAAGUGCCUUGUUUCAUUAGAUUCUGCAGAAUGUAAAGCCCUCUUUCAAAACUGAUAUAGCAUUUCUAGUUGCAAGAUCGUUUUAUAUUGUGAACUUUUUAUUAAAUAUGCAUAUUCUAGUAGCCUCUAGAGACUUUUAAUUUAAAACAUAAAUUAUAUGUAAUUUCAAACUCUGCUAUCUCUGACUUUAGUCACAGAACUCACUUUUGGGACUGCUACACAUGGCUAACGGUAAUAUAUCAAUGCUUCCAAUAGACGUUUUAGCUAUAUGAGGUCAUUACAAAUAUAGCUUUAGCUCUUCCUUAAGUAGACCCCAUUGUUAAUAUAAAUAUGUAUCUGUAAUUAUUGACAUUUAUAUGAUUUGGCCCCUGUACUAAAUUAUUGAUACAGUGAUGAUAAAAGGGCCUUACCAACUCUUACCUAAAUAAACUGUCCUUCCUAACUACCUUCCAUGGAACUGGAUUCUUGUAAAUAAUGUUACUCAUGUGUUUACUAGCAAGUCAAAAUUUAUACAUAUUUUUCUAAAAGUGAGUUAUCUUGCUGUUUGGGGUGAAAAGUACUGUCUGCUGUUUGAAAAAGAAUGCUGAGAGUCAAGCCAUGCAGAAUUCUUCACAACUUGCAGGGGAUGUGCACUUUCCCAUAUCAUUAGAUAGCCCACUUGAAUACUUAGUCACAUUUGUAAUUUGUUUAAGAUCCUAAAACAGAAGAUCUUAUGCUAGCAAAAGGGUGUGUUAUUUUAAAAUAACAAGUGGCUGUUGAUUUUUCAUCACUGCUUCCAAAGAGACUAGAGGGUUUGCGUUAAAAGUUGAAAUGGUUGUUCAAAAGGUAGAGUUUGGAAGACACAGACUAGCAAAGUGCAACAUGGAAGCUCUCCCAACACAGUGGCAGCCUCAACAUUUCUAACGAGAAAAGGAAAAGACAGUUGAGAUCCCAUAGGAAUGCAGUAUUUGGGGAGAGAACUAAGACUCCUUUCACGAAUGGAGAGAGAACCCCAGUGAAUUCUGGACUAUCAGCUAUCUUAGUGGCAUGUGGAGGUUUAAGAAUGAUUUGGAUCACAAGCUGAAACGUUUUCCAGACCUUCAGAUUGCAACUUUCUACUAAGCCAGCAAUUUUAUGCUUUCCUCUCCCUGACUCCAACAGUACCACAAUAUAAGCAGCCAGAUUUUCUUCUGCAUUGUGUUUUUUAUCCAUUCAGCCAAAAUUAACAGUCUUUGAGGAUGAAGUAUGCCAAGUGAAUUUGAAUCUUGCGGACUAAAAUACACCUAAAGUUGAUGGAUACAUUCGUGCCUACUGCUGAAAUCUACCAAUUACUCAGAACUACGUUAACUUACCAUAGAAACAUCUCAUCUAAUAGCACAGAUGAUGUUGAACUAACUAAUUACAUUAUGGCACAUAGACAAUGAAAAACAUAACGAAGAUGACAGCACAGCAACAGCAGAUGCUGCACAAAAGAAAAAUUAGAAAAAUAUUGCUCUGCAAAAUGCUCUCAGUUAAGGUUCCCUCUGUUAAAAUUAAUCACAAAAAUUAGUGAAGAUUAGAUUUCAGAAAAAGAUAUGAACAUUAUAAUGGUAUUUGGAAAAUGUCAUUAAGCCAUUUAAAACUCUGCUCCUUCAGAAGAGGUAAUUCCCAUUUUUCUUAUCACUAUCAGUUGCAAGACUAGUAAACAUUGUAGUGCCUAUGGCGCAGUUUCUUGGUAGAGUAUCUCUUCCAAUAAGAAGAGCUCCUGAAGGUUCUUCCAGAGCCUGAAUUUGGUAGCUUCCAGCCAUUAUAGCCUUAAAUAAUUAGACAGCUUAGACUUUGUUUUAGCUUGGCGUUUGCUCUAUUCUUGUGCUCUUAGCUGUCAGAGAGCUAGAAUAACAGUGAUAGUUGAUUAUCCGUAGCACGUCUUGUUACUUUAUAUAUUUUAAAUUGUAACAGAUCCUAAAUGACAAAUCUGAAACUGCUGAAUAUGUUUAAAUGUAAUAUGUAUCUGGAGAUUACAUCCAGAUGACAUAUUGCAUAGACAUAUGAUAAAAAAAAUGCACCACUUACUUUUAACCACAGUGCUGGUCCUCUUCCCCCUUCCCUCGUGGAAGCUUGCCAUGCGCUCCCUGUCUACUUUAUGUAUAGAUUCUUCAGAUAGCCCUGUCUAUGGAGAAAGAAAUGGUGUAUUCCCCUAUAUUUAAAUCAUACCUAUAGUGCUACUCAAAUUUUAAUAUUUUAUUGGAUAUAUAAUAAAAACAGAGUACAUCUAUGAUGUCCUACGUUUUCCCAGGUACAUUUUUCCCAGCUGGACAUAUUUUAAAUAAAUUUUAUCUGGUUACUGGGCACUCUUCUCCUCAGUCCCCUGCAGGCCAGGGAUGCAGAAAUAAAGGAGACCCACAGGUGGCGCUGUGGUUAAAGUACACCUGGAUUUUGAUUACAGAGACAAGAUUUAGUAGUCGGGCUGUCAGAGGGAAGUUGGUCUGCUUCUUAGUACAAACGCAUAUAUUUGUAAAUAAAUUUCCCUGGCUAGAAUUUCAGAUACUUGUGCCGGCACAUCGCUUCUACACUAGACUGUAAGAGGAGCAGGUUUAAAAUAUUUUGUUGCCUUCAGCAAUCGAGAGGCAGCGCACCCACACAAACUCGUAAUUUAGUGACGCUGCAGCCAUAAAACGGGUAGUUGACAACAGCAGUUAACUGCACCAGGCGAGCCGUGCAGCGACCCGUCCCCAUUUAGGAUGACCCUGUCCCGUCGGGCACGGCCGCGUUAGUCCCUGGGAACACGCUGCAGCCGCCUGCCCCCUCCUGCAGUCACAGUGAAGUCCGACUGUUCUCCCUGCGUUGGCUGCUCCUUACGUCAGCGGUCUGGAAUCAAGAAACUAACAUCACCAAGUUUUGUGUUGUUUAACGGAUCCUGGAAAUGUGUAAUUUAGCUGACUCUUUAGCUGCAGUUAGCUCUGCGAGAC